GACGAACGCUGGCGGCGUGCUUAACACAUGCAAGUCGAACGGAAAGGCCCUGCUUUUGUGGGGUGCUCGAGUGGCGAACGGGUGAGUAACACGUGAGUAACCUGCCCUUGACUUUGGGAUAACUUCAGGAAACUGGGGCUAAUACCGGAUAGGAGCUCCUGCUGCAUGGUGGGGGUUGGAAAGUUUCGGCGGUUGGGGAUGGACUCGCGGCUUAUCAGCUUGUUGGUGGGGUAGUGGCUUACCAAGGCUUUGACGGGUAGCCGGCCUGAGAGGGUGACCGGCCAAAAUGGGGAUGAGAAACGGCCCAGAAUCCUAAGGGGAGCAGGAGGGGGGAAAAAUGCAAAAAGGGGGGAAAGCCGAAGCAGGAAAGCCGGGGGGGGGGAGGAGGGCCUUGGGGUGGAAAACGGUUUUGCCUGGGAAGGAGGGGGAGGGAAGGGAAAGGGUAAAAAAACAACGGGUAAAUAAGGG
rnacentral:rRNA from 1 species